UACGGAGGGGGCUAGCGUUGUUCGGAAUUACUGGGCGUAAAGCGCACGUAGGCGGCUUUCUAAGUCGGAGGUGAAAUCCUGGAGCUCAACUCCAGAACUGCCUUCGAUACUGGAGAGCUUGAGUCCGGGAGAGGUGAGUGGAACUGCGAGUGUAGAGGUGAAAUUCGUAGAUAUUCGGAGGAACACCUGUGGCGAAAGCGGCGCACUGGACCACAACUGACGCUGAGGCGCGAAAGCUAGGGGAGCAAACAGGG
rnacentral:rRNA from 1 species